rnacentral:rRNA from 1 species
UACAGAGGUCUCAAGCGUUGUUCGGAUUCAUUGGGCGUAAAGGGUGCGUAGGUGGCGGGGUAAGUCUGGUGUGAAAUCUCGGAGCUCAACUCCGAAACUGCACUGGAUACUGUCUUGCUCGAGUACUGGAGAGGAGAUUGGAAUUUACGGUGUAGCAGUGAAAUGCGUAGAUAUCGUAAGGAAGACCAGUGGCGAAGGCGAAUCUCUGGACAGUUACUGACACUGAGGCACGAAGGCCAGGGGAGCAAACGGG